GUCCUACGGGAGAAAGCAGGGGACCUUCGGGCCUUGCGCUAUCAGAUGAGCCUAGGUCGGAUUAGCUAGUUGGUGAGGUAAUGGCUCACCAAGGCGACGAUCCGUAACUGGUCUGAGAGGAUGAUCAGUCACACUGGAACUGAGACACGGUCCAGACUCCUACGGGAGGCAGCAGUGGGGAAUAUUGGACAAUGGGCGAAAGCCUGAUCCAGCCAUGCCGCGUGUGUGAAGAAGGUCUUCGGAUUGUAAAGCACUUUAAGUUGGGAGGAAGGGUUGUAGAUUAAUACUCUGCAAUUUUGACGUUACCGACAGAAUAAGCACCGGCUAACUCUGUGCCAGCAGCCGCGGUAAUACAGAGGGUGCAAGCGUUAAUCGGAAUUACUGGGCGUAAAGCGCGCGUAGGUGGUUUGUUAAGUUGGAUGUGAAAUCCCCGGGCUCAACCUGGGAACUGCAUCCAAAACUGGCAAGCUAGAGUAUGGUAGAGGGUGGUGGAAUUUC
rnacentral:rRNA from 1 species